UAGGGUUCAGUCUGGCAGGGGCCUGCCACCCGGGGCUCCUGCCGGAGCCAAAGUGGCAACCGCGACAGCCCUGGCAGGCGCCGGUGACCACCGAGCCAGUCCAGCUCUCUGCUGUGGCCUGGGAAAGCAGUAGAAGAUGGUCCAAGUCCUUGGGGCCCUGCACCUGCAUGGGAGACCUGGAAGAAGCUCCUGGCACCUGGCUUCAGAUCCAUACAGCUCCGGCCAUUGCAGCCAACUGCCAUCAUUAAUACCUUAGUGUGUUGGGGACAGCGCUGUGGUGCAGUGGAUUAAAGCCCUGGCCUGAAGUGCCAGCAUCCCAUAUGGGCACCAGUUCAAGUCCUGGCUGCCCCUCUUCUGAUCCAGCUCUCUGCUGUGGCCUGGGAAAGCAGUGGAGGAUGGCCCAAGUCCUUGGGCUCCUGCACCCGCGUGGGAGACCCAGAAGAAGCUCCUGGUUCCUGACUUCGGAUCGGCACAGCUCCAGCUGUUGUGGCCAACUGGGGAGUGAACCAGCGGAUGGAAGACCUCUCUCUCUCUCUCUUUCUACCUCUCUAACUC